rnacentral:rRNA from 1 species
UACGGAGGAUGCAAGCGUUAUCCAGAAUGAUUGGGCGUAAAGCGUCCGCAGGUGGCAAUGUAAGUCUGCUGUCAAAGCGUCUGGCUCAACCAGAUAAAGGCAGUGGAAACUACAUAGCUAGAGUAAGGUAGGGGUAGAGGGAAUUCCUGGUGUAGCGGUGAAAUGCGUAGAGAUCAGGAAGAACACCGGUGGCGAAAGCGCUCUGCUGGACCUUAACUGACACUGAGGGACGAAAGCUAGGGGAGCGAAUGGG